CUUCAAGUUUUAGAUAAUCAUACUACGAGUUCACCAUAAGGUGAUAUUAUGUGACCUUUGACCUCUCUCUGUCAGGGGGAGCCUGGGUAUGUCAUAGGGGGCAUAGGAGACGGCCAUUAUGCUCCUGGACGAAAGGGAGAGCCUGGAUCAUCAGGACCCCAAGGGGCUCCGGGUGUACCAGGGGUCUCUGGACCCUCAGGCCUGCCUGGACAGUCAGGUUCACCUGGGUCCUCAGGGAUAUCUGUUAAGGGGGAACAUGGGGAGGCAGGUGCUAAAGGUUUGCGUGGGAAAGCAGGGGCCAAAGGAGACAAAGGAGAUCAUGGUAAAGAUGGCCAAGCAGGGUUACCUGGUCCCAUUGGAAUUGAUGGUGUUCCAGGCUUCCCAGGUCAAAUGGGAUAUAAGGGAGAGGAGGGGAUCGGGGUUCCCGGUGUCCAGGGGCCUCGUGGAGAGCCAGGGGAGAAGGGAAAUAUAGGCCUAUCAGGACCUGAGGGACUAAAGGGAGAGGCUGGUGUUCAAGGGAUACAAGGGGUUGUCGGACCACGGGUAUGCAUCAACUUUUUAUUUGUUUAUAUUGAAUACACAUACAAAAGUGGAG
rnacentral:lncRNA from 1 species